UACGAAGGGGGCUAGCGUUGCUCGGAAUUACUGGGCGUAAAGGGCUCGUAGGCUGCCAACUAAGUCAGACGUGAAAUCCCCAGGCUCAACCUGGGAACUGCGUCUGAUACUGGAUGGCUUGAAUCCGGGAGAGGGAUGCAGAAUUCCAGGUGUAGCGGUGAAAUGCGUAGAUAUCUGGAGGAAUACCGGUGGCGAAGGCGGCAUCCUGGACCGGCAUUGACGCUGAGGAGCGAAAGCUAGGGGAGCAAACGGG
rnacentral:rRNA from 1 species